rnacentral:rRNA from 2 species
UCCGGGGGUAGAGCACUGUUUCGGCUAGGGGGCCAUCCCGGCUUACCAACCCGAUGCAAACUGCGAAUACCGGAGAAUGUUAUCACGGGAGACACACGGCGGGUGCUAACGUCCGUCGUGAAGAGGGAAACAACCCAGACCGCCAGCUAAGGUCCCAAAGUCAUGGUUAAGUGGGAAACGAUGUGGGAAGGCCCAGACAGCCAGGAUGUUGGCUUAGAAGCAGCCAUCAUUUAAAGAAAGCGUAAUAGCUCACUGGUCGAGUCGGCCUGCGCGGAAGAUGUAACGGGGCUAAACCAUGCACCGAAGCUGCGGCAGCGACGCUGAUGCGUUGUUGGGUAGGGGAGCGUUCUGUAAGCCUGCGAAGGUGGCCUGUGAGGGUUGCUGGAGGUAUCAGAAGUGCGAAUGCUGACAUAAGUAACGAUAAAGCGGGUGAAAAGCCCGCUCGCCGGAAGACCAAGGGUUCCUGUCCAACGUUAAUCGGGGCAGGGUGAGUCGACCCCUAAGGCGAGGCCGAAAGGCGUAGUCGAUGGGAAACGGGUUAAUAUUCCCGUACUUGGUGUUACUGCGAAGGGGGGACGGAGAAGGCUAUGUUGGCCGGGCGACGGUUGUCCCGGUUUAAGCGUGUAGGUGUGUGUUCCAGGUAAAUCCGGUUCACUUUAACACUGAGGCGUGAUGACGAGGCACUACGGUGCUGAAGCAACAAAUGCCCUGCUUCCAGGAAAAGCCUCUAAGCAUCAGGUAACAUCAAAUCGUACCCCAAACCGACACAGGUGGUCAGGUAGAGAAUACCAAGGCGCUUGAGAGAACUCGGGUGAAGGAACUAGGCAAAAUGGUGCCGUAACUUCGGGAGAAGGCACGCUGACACGUAGGUGAAGUGAUUUACUCAUGGAGCUGAAGUCAGUCGAAGAUACCAGCUGGCUGCAACUGUUUAUUAAAAACACAGCACUGUGCAAACACGAAAGUGGACGUAUACGGUGUGACGCCUGCCCGGUGCCGGAAGGUUAAUUGAUGGGGUCAGCGCAAGCGAAGCUCCUGAUCGAAGCCCCGGUAAACGGCGGCCGUAACUAUAACGGUCCUAAGGUAGCGAAAUUCCUUGUCGGGUAAGUUCCGACCUGCACGAAUGGCGUAAUGAUGGCCAGGCUGUCUCCACCCGAGACUCAGUGAAAUUGAACUCGCUGUGAAGAUGCAGUGUACCCGCGGCAAGACGGAAAGACCCCGUGAACCUUUACUAUAGCUUGACACUGAACAUUGAGCCUUGAUGUGUAGGAUAGGUGGGAGGCUUUGAAGUGUGGACGCCAGUCUGCAUGGAGCCGGCCUUGAAAUACCACCCUUUAAUGUUUGAUGUUCUAACGUGGACCCGUGAUCCGGGUUGCGGACAGUGUCUGGUGGGUAGUUUGACUGGGGCGGUCUCCUCCUAAAGAGUAACGGAGGAGCACGAAGGUUGGCUAAUCCUGGUCGGACAUCAGGAGGUUAGUGCAAUGGCAUAAGCCAGCUUGACUGCGAGCGUGACGGCGCGAGCAGGUGCGAAAGCAGGUCAUAGUGAUCCGGUGGUUCUGAAUGGAAGGGCCAUCGCUCAACGGAUAAAAGGUACUCCGGGGAUAACAGGCUGAUACCGCCCAAGAGUUCAUAUCGACGGCGGUGUUUGGCACCUCGAUGUCGGCUCAUCACAUCCUGGGGCUGAAGUAGGUCCCAAGGGUAUGGCUGUUCGCCAUUUAAAGUGGUACGCGAGCUGGGUUUAGAACGUCGUGAGACAGUUCGGUCCCUAUCUGCCGUGGGCGCUGGAGAACUGAGGGGGGCUGCUCCUAGUACGAGAGGACCGGAGUGGACGCAUCACUGGUGUUCGGGUUGUCAUGCCAAUGGCACUGCCCGGUAGCUAAAUGCGGAAGAGAUAAGUGCUGAAAGCAUCUAAGCACGAAACUUGCCCCGAGAUGAGUUCUCCCUGAGACUUAGAGUCUCCUGAAGGAACGUUGAAGACGACGACGUUGAUAGGCCGGGUGUGUAAGCGCAGCGAUGCGUUGAGCUAACCGGUACUAAUGAACCGUGAGGCUUAACCUUACA